rnacentral:tRNA from 3 species
UGCGGGGUGGAGCAGCCUGGUAGCUCGUCGGGCUCAUAACCCGAAGGUCGCAGGUUCAAAUCCUGCCCCCGCUACCA